GAAAUUUUGGUCUUGUCCUUUUUAGGAAAACUUUAAGUCAUUCAGUGUUUUCACAGUUCUGUCAAACCAAGGGCUCUUCAGUGCAUGGAAAAAUCAUCCGUGCCUCCGAGCUGGAAUCAAUGGGUGAGGAAGUUGAAGCAAAGCAGACUGGAGUUAAUGGGGGUGUUCUGACCAACCUCAGGGGUUGCCCCAGAGCUUCCCAGCAGCCCUGCAGAGAUCCAGUCAUUGCAGGAGAAAAUCCUCAGCUGUGUGAUCUUCUCCUCCAGCUGUUUGUGGGAUCCUGGAGUGGGAGAACUUGGACCAUGAGGAAGGAGAGGUUUGGAAGCAGCCUCAGGGAGGUACAAGUGGUGACAGAGGGGGAUGUGCUCUGUGUCUGGGGCACAAUAUGAGGUGACACCACUCCAAUGCUGCUUUGUGGUCCUACCUACUGGAGAUGUCCCUUUGAAAGGAGAGGAAAUUGCUGUUGGAUAACAUCACUGCCUCCAUCACAGCUGGCACUGGCUGGUGCAGAUACGUGUUUACAUUUUGCUUGGAAGAUGUAAACACUAAUUAAGCAUUAAUGUUAAUGGGGCCUGGGCCCCUGGCUCUGCUGCUGGCGCUGCCCUGGCUGCUGUCCAUCUCACCCUGCUCACUAUCUGUGCUUCCUGGCAGAAAAUAAGGAUAAUUAUUUAUUCCUUUCCAAAGAGGGAGGGAAGGGACACCGGGGAGGGUCAUGUAAGGACAAAAUAUUGUGUUACUGGGAAUUAAACCAAAUCCUAUCAGCCUGAGAGGAAGGCAGGAGUGGUUGUUAUCCCAGGUUCCACCGUGGAUGUGAUCACCCAAUACUCUCUAUAUUUCCUCUUCUCACUUCCUGCACCCCAGCUCAGGCAGGGAAAAGCCUCUCCAGUUUGCCAUAGCCCAGGGCCAGGAUGGAUUAGCUCUGAGUGCAGGGGAUGUGAAGCAGCAUCCAGCCCUGUCGUGGUGCAGAAAAUCUACCUUUUGGGUUUAAUUCUCUGUAAAAAAGUCUUUGCUGUUCCUGUUCCCUCUUUAUGCCCUGCUGUGGGAUGCACUGGCCAUGGAGGAGCCUCCAGCACAGCCUGGCCCUGCCGUGGUUGUGGCCGUGGCCGUUCCAGGGCUUUGAUGGCAGAUUUUCCAUUUUCCCUUUGCUCGGCCCCGGCGAGAGCCAACGCUAAUUAGGGAGGGUAAUUCCUCCCAAACGGGUCCUCUCCCUUUGUGAGCCCGUGGGUUUGCCAGGAGAAUAAAAGCUCCCUGAUUGUCCCC
rnacentral:lncRNA from 1 species